rnacentral:lncRNA from 1 species
AUCACUUGGUCGCCUGGGUUUACAUCGGGCGACUUCAUCUUUAACCCGGUGACCGCCGGUUCUGGUGUGCUGGAGAUCGGAGCACGCCAACUUAAUAACUGGCGACUACACGAGCCCCCCGACUUCCUUCCCUUCUGCCAGCCAGGCGUCCCAUCAACACGCCUAUACAAUAGCUUGAUGCCACGUCAUCACUUCCGACUACCAGGGCGGUACACAAGCCCCCCAGUCUUAAGCGAAGACUUGUCCAGCGAAAAGACUAAAGGAGUCAUGUCAAUACCGAUCUACGUGGCGCUGGCGCAGAAUUCCAAGCGGUUGUACUUUCUGCUUUCCUGAC